rnacentral:rRNA from 1 species
AGUUUUGAAUCCUGGCUCAGGACGAACGCUGGCGGCGUGCCUAAUACAUGCAAGUCGAGCGGACUAAUUGGAGCUUGCUCCAAUUAGUUAGCGGCGGACGGGUGAGUAACACGUGGGCAACCUACCUAUAAGACUGGGAUAACUUCGGGAAACCGGAGCUAAUACCGGAUGACACAAAGGAACUCCUGUUCCUUUGUUGAAAGAUGGCUUCGGCUAUCACUUAUAGAUGGGCCCGCGGCGCAUUAGCUAGUUGGUGAGGUAACGGCUCACCAAGGCGACGAUGCGUAGCCGACCUGAGAGGGUGAUCGGCCACACUGGGACUGAGACACGGCCCAGACUCCUACGGGAGGCAGCAGUAGGGAAUCUUCCGCAAUGGACGAAAGUCUGACGGAGCAACGCCGCGUGAGCGAUGAAGGCCUUCGGGUCGUAAAGCUCUGUUGUUAGGGAAGAACAAGUGCUAGUUGAAUAAGCUGGCACCUUGACGGUACCUAACCAGAAAGCCACGGCUAACUACGUGCCAGCAGCCGCGGUAAUACGUAGGUGGCAAGCGUUGUCCGGAAUUAUUGGGCGUAAAGCGCGCGCAGGCGGUUUCUUAAGUCUGAUGUGAAAGCCCCCGGCUCAACCGGGGAGGGUCAUUGGAAACUGGGAAACUUGAGUGCAGAAGAGGAAAGUGGAAUUCCAAGUGUAGCGGUGAAAUGCGUAGAGAUUUGGAGGAACACCAGUGGCGAAGGCGACUUUCUGGUCUGUAACUGACGCUGAGGCGCGAAAGCGUGGGGAGCAAACAGGAUUAGAUACCCUGGUAGUCCACGCUGUAAACGAUGAGUGCUAAGUGUUAGAGGGUUUCCGCCCUUUAGUGCUGAAGUUAACGCAUUAAGCACUCCGCCUGGGGAGUACGGUCGCAAGACUGAAACUCAAAGGAAUUGACGGGGGCCCGCACAAGUGGUGGAGCAUGUGGUUUAAUUCGAAGCAACGCGAAGAACCUUACCAGGUCUUGACAUCCUCUGACAACCCUAGAGAUAGGGCUUUCCCUUCGGGGACAGAGUGACAGGUGGUG